rnacentral:rRNA from 1 species
GCUCAGGAUGAACGCUGGCGGCGUGCCUAAUACAUGCAAGUCGAACGAGGUGCCUUUGUAGCAAUACGAGGGUAUCCUAGUGGCGAACGGGUGAGUAACGCGUUGGUGACCUGCCCCGAAGUGUGGGAUAACAGUCCGAAAGGACUGCUAAUACCGCAUGCGGCCAUCGGGUUUAGAAACCGAUGUCCAAAGCAGCAAUGCGCUUUGGGAGGGACCUGCGUCCCAUCAGCUAGUUGGUAGGGUAACGGCCUACCAAGGCGACGACGGGUAGGGGACCUGAGAGGGUGACCCCCCACAAUGGAACUGAAAUACGGUCCAUACACCUACGGGUGGCAGCAGUAGGGAAUAUUGCACAAUGGGCGAAAGCCUGAUGCAGCAACGCCGCGUGCACGAUGAAGGUCUUCGGAUCGUAAAGUGCUUUUCUGGGAGAUGAGAAAGGACAGUAUCCCAGGAAUAAGUCUCGGCUAACUACGUGCCAGCAGCCGCGGUAAAACGUAGGAGGCAAGCGUUAUCCGGAUUCACUGGGCGUAAAGCGCGUGCAGGCGGUUCGGUAAGUUGGGCGUGAAAUCUCCUGGCUUAACUGGGAGAGGCCGUCCAAUACUACCGGGCUAGAGAACAGUAGAGGAAGAUGGAAUUCCCGGUGUAGUGGUGAAAUGCGUAGAUAUCGGGAGGAACACCAGUGGCGAAGGCGAUCUUCUGGACUGUUUCUGACGCUCAUACGCGAAAGCUAGGGUAGUAAACGGGAUUAGAGACCCCGGUAAUCCUAGCCGUAAACGAUGUGAACUUGGCGUCGGUAGCUUAAACACUAUCGGUGCCGUAGCAAACGCGAUAAGUUCACCGCCUGGGGACUACGAU